rnacentral:rRNA from 1 species
UACGUAGGGAGCAAGCGUUGUUCGGAUUUACUGGGCGUAAAGGGCGCGUAGGCGGCGCGGUAAGUCACUUGUGAAAUCUCUGAGCUUAACUCAGAACGGCCAAGUGAUACUGCAGUGCUAGAGUGCAGAAGGGGCAAUCGGAAUUCCUGGUGUAGCGGUGAAAUGCGCAGAUAUCAGGAGGAACACCGGUGGCGAAGGCGGGUCUCUGGGCAGUAACUGACGCUGGAGGAGCGAAAGCGUGGGGAGCGAACAGG